rnacentral:rRNA from 1 species
AUUGAACGCUGGCGGCAGGCCUAACACAUGCAAGUCGAACGAGUGGCGGACGGGUGAGUCAUGUCUGGGAAACUGCCCGAUGGAGGGGGAUAACUACUGGAAACGGUGGCUAAUACCGCAUACCCUCAGAUUUUCCCAGAUGGGAUUAGCUAGUGGGUGGGGUAACGGCUCACCAAGGCCACGAACCGUAGCUGGUCGGAGAGUAUGCCGAGCCACACUGGAACUGAGACACGGUCCAGACUCCUACGGGAGGCAGCAGUGGGGAAUAUUGCACAAUGGGCGCAAGCCUGAUGCAGCCAUGCCGCGUGUAUGAAGAAGGCCUUCGGGUUGUAAAGUACUUUCAGCGGGGAGGCGUUACCCGCAGAAGAAGCACCGGCUAACUCCGUGCCAGCAGCCGCGGUAAUUC